CUGAGAGGGUGAACGGCAACAUUGGGACUGAGACACGGCCCAAACUCCUACGGGAGGCAGCAGUGGGGAAUAUGCACAAUGGGGGAAACCCUGAUGCAGCGACGCCGCGUGAGUGAUGAAGUAUUUCGGUAUGUAAAGCUCUAUCAGCAGGGAAGAUAAUGACGGUACCUGACUAAGAGGACCCGGCUAAAUACGUGCCAGCAGC
rnacentral:rRNA from 1 species